AAUAACCUUUUAUCUUUAAAUCACACACAUUCCGUCACAUAUUCCGGGGUGCUGAGCAGAAGCUUGGUCGGAGUUAUGGGGAGUGUGGAGGCCUAACC
rnacentral:sRNA from 1 species